CCUACGGGGGGCUGCAGUGGGGAAUAUUGGGCAAUGGGCGCAAGCCUGACCCAGCAACGCCGCGUGAGGGAUGAAGGCCUUCGGGUUGUAAACCUCUUUCAGCAGGGACGAAGCGAAAGUGACGGUACCUGCAGAAGAAGCACCGGCUAACUACGUGCCAGCAGCCGCGGUAAUACGUAGGGUGCAAGCGUUGUCCGGAUUUAUUGGGCGUAAAGAGCUCGUAGGCGGUUCGGCACGUCGGAUGUGAAAACUCGGGGCUUAACCCCGAGCCUGCAUUCGAUACGGCCGGACUCGAGUGUGGUAGGGGAGACUGGAAUUCCUGGUGUAGCGGUGGAAUGCGCAGAUAUCAGGAGGAACACCGAUGGCGAAGGCAGGUCUCUGGGCCAUUACUGACGCUGAGGAGCGAAAGCGUGGGGAGCGAACAGGAUUAGAUACCCUAGUAGUC
rnacentral:rRNA from 1 species